rnacentral:rRNA from 1 species
AUGGUUAAGUUAGAAAGGGCGCACGGUGAAUGCCUUGGCACUAGGAGCCGAUGAAGGACGGGACUAACACCGAUAUGCUUCGGGGAGCUGUAAGUGAGCUUUGAUCCGGAGAUUUCCGAAUGGGGAAACCCACUGUUCGUAAUGGAACAGUAUCUUUAUCUGAAUACAUAGGAUAUUGAAGGCAGACCCGGGGAACUGAAACAUCUAAGUACCCGGAGGAAGAGAAAGCAAAUGCGAUUUCCUGAGUAGCGGCGAGCGAAACGGAAUUAGCCCAAACCAAGAGGCUUGCCUCUUGGGGUUGUAGGACACUCUAUACGGAGUUACAAAGGAACGAAGUAAAUGAAGCGACCUGGAAAGGUCCGUCGAAGAAGGUAACAACCCUGUAGUUGAAACUUCGUUCCCUCUUGAGUGGAUCCUGAGUACGGCGGAACACGUGAAAUUCCGUCGGAAGCUGGGAGGACCAUCUCCCAAGGCUAAAUACUACCUAGUGACCGAUAGUGAACCAGUACCGUGAGGGAAAGGUGAAAAGCACCCCGGAAGGGGAGUGAAAGAGAUCCUGAAACCGUGUGCCUACAAGUAGUCAGAGCCCGUUAACGGGUGAUGGCGUGCCUUUUGUAGAAUGAACCGGCGAGUUACGAUCCCAUGCAAGGUUAAGCUGAUAAGGCGGAGCCGUAGCGAAAGCGAGUCUGAAUAGGGCGUUUAGUAUGUGGUUGUAGACCCGAAACCAGGUGAUCUACCCAUGUCCAGGGUGAAGUUCAGGUAACACUGAAUGGAGGCCCGAACCCACGCACGUUGAAAAGUGCGGGGAUGAGGUGUGGGUAGCGGAGAAAUUCCAAUCGAACCUGGAGAUAGCUGGUUCUCUCCGAAAUAGCUUUAGGGCUAGCCUCAUGUUGUGAGAGUCUUGGAGGUAGAGCACUGAUUGGACUAGGGGCCCCCAACGGGUUACCGAAUUCAGUCAAACUCCGAAUGCCAAAGACUUAUCCAUGGGAGUCAGACUGCGAGUGAUAAGAUCCGUAGUCAAAAGGGAAACAGCCCAGACCACCAGCUAAGGUCCCCAAGUAUACGUUAAGUGGAAAAGGAUGUGGAGUUGCUUAGACAACCAGGAUGUUGGCUUAGAAGCAGCCACCAUUUAAAGAGUGCGUAAUAGCUCACUGGUCGAGUGACUCUGCGCCGAAAAUGUACCGGGGCUAAACGUAUCACCGAAGCUGUGGAUUGACAUCUUUGAUGUCAGUGGUAGGAGAGCGUUCUAAGUGCAGCGAAGUCAGACCGUAAGGACUGGUGGAGCGCUUAGAAGUGAGAAUGCCGGUAUGAGUAGCGAAAGACAAGUGAGAAUCUUGUCCACCGAAUGCCUAAGGUUUCCUGAGGAAGGCUCGUCCGCUCAGGGUUAGUCGGGACCUAAGCCGAGGCUGAAAAGCGUAGGCGAUGGCCAACAGGUUGAUAUUCCUGUACCACCUCCCCGCCGUUUGAGUAAUGGGGGGACGCAGUAGGAUAGGGUAAGCGCGCUGCUGGAUAUGCGCGUUCAAGCAGUUAGGCUGAUGAGUAGGCAAAUCCGCUCAUCAUAAAGGCUGAGCUGUGAUGACGAGGGAAUUAUAGUACCGAAGUUCCUGAUUCCACACUGCCAAGAAAAGCCUCUAGCGAGGCGGGAGGUGCCCGUACCGCAAACCGACACAGGUAGGCGAGGAGAGAAUCCUAAGGUGAUCGAGAGAACUCUCGUUAAGGAACUCGGCAAAAUGACCCCGUAACUUCGGGAGAAGGGGUGCUCUGGUAGGGUGUAUAGCCCGAGAGAGCCGCAGUGAAUAGGCCCAGGCGACUGUUUAGCAAAAACACAGGUCUCUGCGAAGCCGCAAGGCGAAGUAUAGGGGCUGACGCCUGCCCGGUGCUGGAAGGUUAAGAGGAGGGGUUAUCCUUUGGGAGAAGCUCUGAAUCGAAGCCCCAGUAAACGGCGGCCGUAACUAUAACGGUCCUAAGGUAGCGAAAUUCCUUGUCGGGUAAGUUCCGACCCGCACGAAAGGCG